CGAUUAAUCAGGCUUAAUUUAUGCCGCUGAUAAUUAUGUAAGGGUUACAGCUCAACAUUUAACAAGCGGCGCACAGAAGCAUGAGCAUUGAGCAUUUGUCUGUUUCUUUUCAUUUCAUUCUUUGUAAACUUGAAAUCGGUUUGUCGAGCUGCGGACUUGACAUUGAACUUGAGUGAAUUCUGUGGGGGAUUUUUCCAUAAAUUAAUUAGCUGUUUUUGUCGCCUUUCUAAUCGGACAAGCGUUAAAGAUAUUUUUGCCGAGUCAUUUCAUAAUUAACCGCAGUUGCUGGCAAACGCAUAUUUAUCCGAGAGCAAUAAACUUCAGUGCCGGCCUCAGCUGGCGCAGUCGUACAGAGUGUGUGGGCGCUGCUCGAGUGGGCGGACAGACGGCAUAUGGAGACACAGGAUACGCAGGAUACGCGCUGGCAGUCAGCACAAAGGUUGUCAAGGACACUGAGCAGCUUGGCAUAUGGCAACCGGAUGGCAGGAAGUGUAUACGUGUCCUCUGCGUGCAGCUACAUCAGCAUACGGCUGAGGACGUGAGGCCGCAGCUGCUGAACUUUAACAUGACCUUGCGACAGAUAAUGCCUAGACACUUUAAUAAAUUGAGCCAAGACAGCGUUUCUACACGUAAAUCUUUUAUUUAUAUAAAUAUUUAUAUGUAUAAUUUGUAAUUGUAUUUGUAUUUGUGCUUGUAUUCUUCUUCUUUUUUUUUUUUUUUUUUUUGUUACUUUUGUGUUUCUUGAAAAACUUUGCUGCUUACAUGCGAGACACGUCUAGAGUUAAGAAAUAAAUAAUGUUAAUAAAUUA